CGGACAUUGGUCAAAAGAAACACUUAAUCCUGCCAUUUUAUAUCCAAUGUGUUUGGCCAAAUACAUACUGUAUUUGCUAUCAGUGUACUAUCCCAUUGCUUGUCAAACUGUGGGGCGGAGAGGCUUUCCGGGAGGAGGGACGUGCUUUUUUCCUCUUACAUGUAGCAGGAAGAAAUUUUUGUUUUGAGUCUGAGUGCCCUGAACCCAUAUUAGAGACGUACAAAUCAGUAAGAGCCUCACUGCAACCACUAAAACCCAGAUCCAGCAAGGGCCAGGCUCAAUCUGUGGCAGUGGCAGCGGGUGCUACUGCAGAUGCCACAGGAUUUUAAGAGGUACCGCGAGGUGCACUAGUUAGCGCUGUAUUUUGCGCAGUGUUCGCGGCACCAGAAGUGGCAGCCGGAGAUGCCACUGGCAUUUUUAUUGACACCCCUUGUUGCGUAAGCAGCCACACUGUUAUUGUCGUCCUCCUUUAAACUAAAUAAAAAAUGCAAAGGCACAUUUAUAACCUUAAUAUAACUGUUUACGUCGCCUAUUUCCAUGCCUCCCCGAUGGUUUUCCUAUUGUUGUUAAGGUGACACUCACGUCUGGACUCUGUUAAAGAUGGCAUAAGCUGUAAUGUUUUCUGUGAUUUGUUUUAUUGUCGGUAUUUGAAGCCACAUGAUUGAAAGUGCUAAUACAGAAAUAGAUUGGUGUUCGACUUCUUAACCAGUAGGUGGUGCUGUAGUAAAAAUGUAUAGCAAUGCGUGGUUAGAGUUUGAUGCUUAAAAUAAGACAAGGAUCAAGCAGUACAUUUCUAUAUAUGCCAGGAGAGCGAGGACAGUGGAGACUAGGUUACGCUUUUCUUGUCUUCUCAGCAGUCAACACAUGAAUUAAAUGCAAUAAGUUAGGUUUUUCCUCUGUUUUCCAUAUGAAAGUGUAAUUGUCAUUUAUUAUAAUCUUCGAAUUUUUAGUCUACACGUUUCUGUAUUUUCUGUUGCUGUGUGCUGUGAAGUUAUGAAUGUUUAUCUUUAUGUGACUUCAGUUAACAUAGGACUAAUUUGUGUAUUAGCCUAUAGCCUAUGAU
rnacentral:lncRNA from 1 species